AAACCCAUUUCUUUCACCCUCUCUCUCGUUCUUCUUCUUCUUCUCCUAAAACACUGGUUCUUCUUCCCCUUCUUCUUCCUUAAUCAAACCAUCAAACCCAUUUUGGUUUUACUGAAACUGACCACCACCACCACUUCUUCCCCUUCUUCCUCCUUAAUCAAACCCACGAAGACCAGCAAUUUCGAAACCACCACCACCAUUUUCUAUUUUUCUUCUUCUUCAUCUUCUUCAUAUAAUCGGCAUCCACCACCACCAACAUCCUUCGAAACCACCACUUCAUCUUCUUCAUUAUUUUCUAUUUUUGUUCUUCUUCAUCUUCUUCAUCUCUUUUUCUGUUCUUCUUCUUCUUCUCGCCCAGCCCGUCUAACUGUAUUUUUUCUUCUUCUUCUUGCAGGUGGCUGUUGGAUAUGGGAAGAUCUGGGUUGAGUCCAGUUAGAUCUAGACUGGGGUCAGUCGAAUCUGGACCGGGUUCGCUUAAUCUCUCCUUCUUCUCAAGCUGAGCUUCGACGGAAAGAGGCGAGAUAGUGGUGGCCUUCGUUUUGAUCGCCGGUGAUGGGAGGCAGCGGUGUGGGUGGCUGGGGGAGAGAAAGGAAUAGAUUGUGGCUGUUGAUGAUCAUGGAUGGUAAUGGAGAUGGGCAGUUGUAGUGAUGAUGGUGGUCGGUUGUGGAUGAUGAUGCAAAUGAUAGUUAUGGUGAUGAUGGUGGAUGAACCAGAGAGAUCCAAGAAGAAAAGAAAAAAAAAAUAAUAACUUAUUUUAUUUUAUUUAUUUUUAAUUUUAAAUUUUUUUUUGUAUAUAUUUAAUUAUUAUUUUAUUUUAUUUUUGUAAAUAGUUUUGUAAUUUUUUUUUUAUUUUUUUAAAAUAUUUAUUUAUGUGGACCAAUUAAAUUGUGCCACGUGUA